UUUGGAGACAGUCAAUGCCUCACCACACUAAACCAAGAUUUGAUUUUUACAAUUGAGAAAUCAAGAAAUGGACUUGCUUUCUCAAGAAACUUCACAAAUAGGCCCAAAAUUUCGUGUUUUAAUUCUUUACUAGUGAAAACAAGAAUGAACUAACACCCCACAAGGCAAAAUUAGUUCUUUUCAGCAUAAGAGAUCAAAUAGACAGUGAUUUUCUUGAAAUCACCAGGAAAACUCAAGAAACCAGAUACCCAAAAAUUAAGCCAAAAAUAAUGUUACUGCAAAAAUCAGCUGAAAAAUACAUGUUGUCGUCCGUGAGACAUACUAUUGUGAGUUACUGUGGUCACUGAGACGAGGUUGUUACUGUCGUGGUUGAGACGAUGAUGUUGCUGUUAUGUCUGAGACAACGAUGUCGCUGUCGUCGGUGACUGAGGUCGCUGACUUGCUGCCGUCGGUGACUAAGGUCACUGUUGUCGGUGACUGAGGUCACCAUCGUCGUGGCUGAGACGAUGAUUUUGCUGUCGUGGUUGAGACGACGAUGUCGCUAUCAUCACUUACUAAGGUCGCAGACUUGCUGCUGUCGGUGACUGAGGUCGCUGUCGUCGAUGGGAGAUUGGGUUGGUGAGCUGAGGGUAGUUGUAAGGGUAUUCUGAUUAGGCUAAUUAGAAAGGAAUUUCGGAAUUGAGUCCGACUGGGUCAAUAAUUGGGUAUUACAAAAUUGUUGACAAAAUUAAU
rnacentral:lncRNA from 1 species